ACGGAAGGCAGCAGUGGGGAAUAUUGGGCAAUGGGCGAAAGCCUGACCCAGCAACGCCGCGUGAAGGAAGAAGGUCUUCGGAUUGUAAACUUCUUUUAUGAGGGACGAAGGACGUGACGGUACCUCAUGAAUAAGCCACGGCUAACUACGUGCCAGCAGCCGCGGUAAUACGUAGGUGGCAAGCGUUGUCCGGAAUUACUGGGUGUAAAGGGAGCGCAGGCGGGAAAGCAAGUCAGUGGUGAAAUGCAUGGGCUUAACCCAUGAACUGCCAUUGAAACUGUUUUUCUUGAGUGGAUCAGAGGCAAGCGGAAUUCCGAGUGUAGCGGUGAAAUGCGUAGAUAUUCGGAGGAACACCAGUGGCGAAGGCGGCUUGCUGGGGUCUAACUGACGCUGAGGCUCGAAAGUGUGGGGAGCAAACAGGAUUAGAUACCCUGGUA
rnacentral:rRNA from 1 species